rnacentral:ncRNA from 1 species
GCACGCCUGUCGGGACCCGAAAGAUGGUGAACUAUGCCUGAGCGGGGCGAAGCCAGAGGAAACUCUGGUGGAGGGCGGAAGCGAUACUGACGUGCAAAUCGUUCGUCUGACUUGGGUAUAGGGGCGAAAGACUAAUCGAACCAUCUAGUAGCUGGUUCCCUCCGAAGUUUCCCUCAGGAUAGCUGGAGCCCAUUACGAGUUCUAUCAGG